UCUCAUUCUGUGUGUGUGUGUGUGUGUGAUUGGAGACAGGUGUGCUGGAGUCAGAGCAGUUCCCCACCAGCUGCAACCCAUUCCAUAACCAAGACCUCUACAAAUACAAGUCCUGCCACUUCCACUCUGCCAGAUCGUAAUCUCCGUUCACUGUGCCGCUCUGACUCUGGUUCCUGUCUUCUGUUCCACAUCUCACCACCCUGCUACCCUGUUCUGGAUUCAACUCAUCAUCACUCCCUUGGAUUCCCCUCCGGACCUGUUUACCCUGUCCCAACCCAGCUCAUUCCAACCUCAGCCUCCACAUCUGGUUUCCUACAACUCAUCCAAGCUUCCCUGGAUCUGCACUUCAUUUCUCCCUGUUGCAAAAAAUAUCUUGGUUCAUUCAUCCCUGUAUCCUGGUCUGAGUCUGCUCUUGGGUUCCCCUGUGCUGCUCCGCUUAACAGCAAUAGCAUGUUAUGACAGAGCAUAUUCUAGAAAGAGCGAGGUCAUUACCUUCCUGUCCUCAGACUACUUUCAAGCCUAUUUGGUUCUGCAGCCUAAUACAUUCUGGUAUUGGGUAGUAGAUAUAUUGAAAUGAAAUAUGUGUAGUACAUUAGUGAAAAUGUGAAUGUUUUGUGACUCAAUUCACACAAAUAAUAAAACAUAUUGUUUAUAAAA